rnacentral:misc_RNA from 1 species
UCCGGUUUGUCACCGGCAGUCUCCCUAGAGUUCCCGGCUUGAGCCGCUGGCAACUAGGGACAAGGGUUGCGCUCGUUGCGGGACUUAACCCAACAUCUCACGACACGAGCUGACGACAGCCAUGCACCACCUGUGAUCGAGUCCCGAAGGAGGGCCGUAUUUCUACGGCUUUCCCGACCAUGUCAAGCCUUGGUAAGGUUCUUCGCGUUGCAUCGAAUUAAUCCACAUGCUCCGCCGCUUGUGCGGGCCCCCGUCAAUUCCCUUGAGUUUUAGCCUUGCGGCCGUACUCCCCAGGCGGGGCGCUUAAUGCGUUAGCUACGGCACGGACAACGUGGAUGUCGCCCACACCUAGCGCCCAACGUUUACAGCGUGGACUAC